UACGUAGGGUGCAAGCGUUAAUCGGAAUUACUGGGCGUAAAGCGUGCGCAGGCGGUUAUGUAAGACAGUUGUGAAAUCCCCGGGCUCAACCUGGGAACUGCAUCUGUGACUGCGAAUGAGCUAGAGUACGGUAGAGGGGGAUGGAAUUCCGCGUGUAGCAGUAGAAAUGCGUAGAUAUGCGGAGGAACACCGAUGGCGAAGGCAAUCCCCUGGACCUGUACUGACGCUCAUGCACGAAAGGCGUGGGGAGCAAACAGG
rnacentral:rRNA from 1 species